rnacentral:rRNA from 1 species
CCGCACAAGCGGUGGAGCAUGUGGUUAAUUCGACGCAACGCGAAGAACCUUACCAGGGCUUGACAUCCCCUGACCGCGUAUGAAAGUACGUUUUCACCCUCGGGUGACAGGGAGACAGGUGGUGCAUGGUUGUCGUCAGCUCGUGUCGUGAGAUGUUGGGUUAAGUCCCGCAACGAGCGCAACCCCUACGUUUAGUUGCUAACGCGUGAAGGCGAGCACUCUAGACGAACUGCCGUUGACAAAACGGAGGAAGGUGGGAUGACGUCAAAUCAUCAUGCCCCUUAUGUUCUGGGCUACACACGUGCUACAAUGGCCGGUACAGACGGACGCAAAGCCGCGAGGUGGAGCAAAUCCUAAAAAGCCGGUCUCAGUUCGGAUUGCAGGCUGCAAUUCGCCUGCAUGAAGUCGGAAUCGCUAGUAAUCGCGGAUCAGCUACGCCGCGGUGAAUACGUUCUCGGGCCUU